GGGUUUUGUAGGCUGGAAUGUGAUAGCCCUUGUUGUCCGGCGGCAAGGCGGCUCACCUCAACACACUUCACCCAGAGGCAAGCAACUCCCCACCGAGCGGAAGAAGUCCCCGGAGACCUCAAGCGCCCGUCCCCGGCGGCGGCCGCCGACGCUUCCUCGUCGCCGUCUACCGACCGAGCCCUACCUAAUCUUUACCUGUGGCGGCAGCGGUUGCUCAGAUGAGUAGACUCAGAUAGACUGCCGAGGAGAUUCCCCACAGAUAAGAUAAGACCAUCCCUUUCCAUUCCCACCUAAUCUUUUAUUUCAUUCCAUUUCGUCCUGCUAUAGCUACAGGGGAAUGCGAUGUGCUCAACUACUGAUGUUGUGAACCCUCCGUCAGUUGCCUGGUUUGGUAAAGCUGUGGAUCUAUUCAUUGGGCGAUUUCAACAAUAAUGGAAGUAUGGAAUAUGAAUAUGAAGUUACAAACACAUUUUAACCUGUAGUGCUGUAGCUUAAUUUCCCGUGAAGUUCUAGCUAUUUGGACCAAAAGAGAACAUUUUGCCUGACCAAAUUCAGCAUUUUUGCACCAGUUACUUGCCUUGUUUGUCCAUUUGAUACUCAUGCACACUUAAUUCAGACGGACACGCUUGUAGAUUUACAAUAACAAGCACAAAACACAGUAUGCUACAGCCCAGACUUUGUUUUUCUCAUUGUCGUCUCUAGGCUUGCGCGAACAAGUAGCUUCGUCGUGCUACCUAUUCUGCGCCGGCACCAGCCUGCCUGUAGGUGCUAUUGCUGAGGCUGAGUAAAAACGAGGGAUUCAGAGUCCCGGGUGUUGCCGUUCGCUGCGAGCGAGGUAAAUAACAAAAAGGACCUGCACACAGAUGUGCCCUCCUUGGAAAUACCCUGGGAUAUCACUUGGCCAGAAUUGCCGGGGAACAAGAUGGACUUCGGUUAUUUCUGUUGCUGGCGGCUGCAACUUGUGUCAUCAGUCAUCACCUCACUCAUCACUGCCACCUGCAGAAAUCAACAGAUAAGAAGUCUCUUUUAGCAAACACAUCUACAUAUAGAUAAAUACUUGUGACCAGCUAGAGCUGUACAAUUCACAUGGACGAGCAAUGUAAAUUAAGUGCAAGCAUGCAUCACGGUGUCUAAUCAGGCGAAAAUGCUCAGAAAUCAAUGAGGACACUGUUAAAUCCUUUGAAUCGGAGUAGGCUAAAUCAAUCCGGUAGCCCUACCUUCUCCUUGGGUUGAAGAGCUCGAGCCGGUGCCGGCCAUGGCAAAGUAGUGGCCGGUGAUGGCAAAGAGAUGGUGGCGGUGGUGUGCUUCCCGUGAGCACCGCACUAACCCUAGAUCGGUAGGGGAUACCGGUGGGGUUUGUGGCAGCAGUUAACCUCGUCACUCAUGCCGCGGCCCCCACCUCUGUUUAUAUAGCGCGGGUCACAGGGGCCCACCAACCAGAAGAGGGUUGGGCGCCCCCGAUCAGGGCGCGGAUCUAAGGGCCCGGUGGGCCGUUGGGCCCACACAGAGGAGAUCAACCUAACAGACACAAGACAAGUCGACAUUUGGGCUUCAGGCCAUGGACCAUACCAUGUACACACGAUUAUGUACAUAAAUCAUUGAACAUGAAACAUUAGGAAAAAUCUGGAGAUGUUAUAGGUUAGAUAAUGAUUGAAAGGAACGAUUCAAGAAGGCUCAAAUGGUCUGUGUAACAACCAACUGAAAGGAGUUUGCUUUGAUACUCACUUUAUUUGCAGCUGCAUCCCAGGCGACAAUCCUGUUUGGCUCCACUUGGAUGUCUUUUCCUUCUUUGCGAAUAUCACAUUUGUUCAUUUCUACUAUAUAUAAAAUGGGAGUCAACACCACACUUUAACCUAUAAGAACACAUGGUUGGUCCCUCCUCCUUUUUCCGGGCUUGGGACCGGCUAUGCAAUUGUAAGUGUUACCUUAAAAUGGCAUAGGCGGAGUUCCACCCCCCAUCCCCAACCCACACAAACACACACAAACAAAAGAGAAAAUGAUAAAACCAAAAA